ACGCAAUAGAUACCCUGGUAGUCCACGCCCUAAACGAUGUCUACUAGUUGUUGGGAGAGUAAAAUCUCUUAGUAAACGCAGCUAAACGCGUGAAGUAGACCGCCUGGGGAGUACGGUCGCAAGAUUAAAAACUCAAAGGAAUUGACGGGGGCCCGCACAAGCGGUGGAUUAUGUGGAUUAAAUUCGAUGCAACGCGAAAAACCUUACCUGGCCUUGACAUGCUACUAACGAAGCAGAGAUGCAUUAGGUGCCCGAAAGGGAAAGUAGACACAGGUGCUGCAUGGCUGUCGUCAGCUCGUGUCGUGAGAUGUUGGGUUAAGUCCCGCAACGAGCGCAACCCUUGCCAAUAAUUGCCAUCA
rnacentral:rRNA from 1 species